rnacentral:rRNA from 1 species
UACGAAGGGGGCUAGCGUUGCUCGGAAUUACUGGGCGUAAAGCGCACGUAGGCGGAUCGAUCAGUCAGGGGGUGAAAUCCCAGAGCUCAACUCUGGAACUGCCUUUGAUACUGUCGAUCUGGAGUGUGGAAGAGGUGAGUGGAAUUCCGAGUGUAGAGGUGAAAUUCGUAGAUAUUCGGAGGAACACCAGUGGCGAAGGCGGGUCUCUGGACAGUUCCUGACGCUGAGGCACGAAGGCCAGGGGAGCAAACGGG